rnacentral:rRNA from 1 species
AAAGGAAUAGACGGGGGCCCGCACAAGCGGAGGAACAUGUGGUUUAAUUCGAUGAUACGCGAGGAACCUUACCUGGGCUUAAAUGGGGAGUGACAGUAGUGGAAACACUAUUUUCUUCGGACACUCUUCAAGGUGCUGCAUGGUUGUCGUCAGCUCGUGCCGUGAGGUGUCGGGUUAAGUCCCAUAACGAGCGCAACCCUUGUCGAUAGUUGCCAGCAUGUCAUGGUGGGGACUCUAUCGAGACUGCCGGUGUAAACCGUGAGGAAGGUGGGGAUGACGUCAAAUCAGCACGGCCCUUAUGUCCAGGGCUACACACGUGUUACAAUGGUCGGUACAAUGGGCAGCUACCCAGUGAUGGGGUGCUAAUCUUUAAAACCGAUCUCAGUUCGGAUCGAAGUCUGCAACUCGACUUCGUGAAGCUGGAUUCGCUAGUAAUCGCACAUCAGCCAUGGUGCGGUGAAUACGUUCCCGGGCCUUGUACACACCGCCCGU